GCCAGGCGUGGUGGCGUGUGCCCAUAGUCCCAGCUACUCAGGAGGCUGAGGUGGGAGGAUUGCUUGAGCCCAGGAGUUCUGGGCUGUAGUGUGCUAUGCCCAUCGGGUGUCCGCUCUAAGUUCGGCAUCAAUAUGGUGACCUCCCAGGAGCGGGGGACCACCAGGUUGCCUAAGGAGGGGUGAAUCUGUCCAGGUCGGAAACGGAGCAGGUCAAAACUCCGUGCUGAUAAGUAGUGGGAUCGCCCCUGUGAAUAGCCAAUGCACUCCAGCCUGGGCAACAUAGCGAGACCACGUCUCU
rnacentral:SRP_RNA from 1 species